CUCCGGGCAGCAGGCGGGGAGGGCGGCCUGGCGGGCGGGCGCGCAGCACCGGCUUUCCCCUUGUCCUCAGGAGACGCCGCCUGCAAUUCCGAAAUUAAGUCUCCACCAAACACAUCUGUGGUUUUUAAAUAUAGCAGGGGACGAUUACCCAGGCAGGGUCCACCCAGGCCUAGGGGAGGAGUUGAGGGGGAUGGAGGUUGGCAGUGGAGGGAAAAUAAAACUCCUUUUUACCCCCUCUUUUUUUCUUCUGUUCUUGGUGCAGAACUCAGUCUGUCAUUUUCUCAACCCAAAUCAAACAACAGCUUGUGAGAGACGCUUGGGUGAGCGCUGGUAUGUUGGCUUUUGGGUUUUUAAGGCUAAAAAUAAGAGGGGGCUGUCUCCCAAAUUGCUGCUUACUCUGGGCCUGGAGCCUGGAAGAGAGAUGGUCCUUUGAUGCAGCAGCAGGACUAGGGUUUGGGGCUUGGCUCAAGCGAAGUGUACACACGUAGCCUUACAUCAGAUGCCUGUAAUUUCUGCUAUAUUUGUCAGGCUUGGUCCUGGAGGCAUGAGGGGUGGGCAGGCCUCCCCAAGAAGGGGGUUUCACUCCCUAGUUUAUGGAUAGCAUUAGGCAGAUCUAAAAGGAGCAUGGUGGCUGGCCUUUCCUAGAGACACCAGUACAGCUUCUGGGACAGAAUAGAAGGUGGGAAGUUGUUCCUCUCAGGCCUCUGCUGCCUGAAGCCAAGUAUGAGGGGCCGACAAACCAGAAUGAUGUUUAGCAAGUAUCAGCACUUCCUAGGGUCAGGCGCCCUGCUAAUGAACUUGAAUGUAUUAUUUCACAUCAUUCCUCAUAAAACUCUCUGAGAUAGGUACAAUUACUAACUCCAUUUUUCUGUUGAGGAAAUUGAGGCUUAAAGAGGUUAAAUAACCAUUCCAAGGCCGCAUGCAGCAACACCGAGGACUGGAAUAAGGUGGAACCAACUGGAGUUUUGCUGAUAAACACAACAGUAUGUGCGACUUCCUGGAUCGCUAGGCCCGUUGAAGAGCUGCUCUGGAACAAGGUUUGCUCCGAAGAGAUUAAGUGGGCAUGGAAGUUAGAGAGUAUCUGAGCCUGGGAUGGCCUAAGUUCUUUCCUGGUCCCUUGACUCAAUGUGGCUUCAGCAAAUCACGUGGUGGUUUCUGUUCUAAGGUUGAAUCCUGGAUGUACUCCUAACUGAGCCCUGGGAUCUCAGAUCCCUGAACACUUAUGGGCCUUGAAUUCAGCUAAAGUUAGGGCUGAGACACUGACCCUGCAAGAUUUCAGUAACUUCUAAAGCUGUGGGAUUUCAGGAUAUGUCAACUGUGAACAUACCUAUUUGCUAAAACAACCACAACAGCAGCAGUAAAAACAGAAUUUUCUUCGAAGAACUGCCAAAAAACCAACGGGAGCCUCAACUUCAUCUUGUCACCUGCAGCAGGACAUUGCCAGAACUCAAGGGGAUUUUCACAACAAGAAAGCCAGCAACUGAGCUGUUUUUCAUCAGCAUUAGGAGCAAGAACCACAAACUGCAUUUUUAAGUUGGGAGGAAACUGAGGCUCGGAUGUGCCUGCGAAGACGUAAUUAAGUUAAAAUGGGCUCGUUAGGGUGGGCCCUCAUUGAAUGACCAGUGUCCUUAUAAGAAGAGGACACAGACAGGUAGACAGAGGGAAGACCACGCGAAGGCACAGCGAGAAGGCAGCCUUCUGCAAGCCCAGGAGAGAGGCCUCCGAAGAAGCCACAGCUGCCGACACUUGAUCUUGGACUUCUAGCCUCCAGACUGUGAGAAAAUAAUUUCUGCUGUUUAAACGACCCAGUCUGUGGGAUUUUUUUUUCUGGCAGCCCUAGCAAUCUAAGACAGAAUCCAAGUCUUCUGGCUGCUUCUAUGAGGCCUUGUUUAUAUUCCAACUUCAAGGAGUUACCUGGGGUUAUUUGGAAGCUUGAAACAUCCUAGACUUUAUAAUCUAACAAAAAGGAAGCAAGGAAACGGGCUUUUAUCGAAUGCCUGCUGUGACCCUGUGCGAUGUACUUUUACACGUGUUAUUUCACUCAGUAAAUAUUUGUGGAACACAUUCUGUGCGCCAGAUACUGUGGUGCUGGGGAUACGGCUGUGAACACUGAGGAUAAAAUCCCUGCCUUCAGGGAGCCUACAUUCUAAAGGAAGAAGCAGAUGAUGAAAAUAAACAAACAAAAUACACAGGGCAUGGCACAUCAUAAGCGCUAUGGAGAAAAUAUAACGCAGGGGAGAAGGAAAGGGGGUGGGGACUGCUGAGGAAGGAGGAGAAAUUGUCAGAUGUUUUUAAUUAAAGAAAGUCAGAGAAUUUGUCCUGGAAGCUUCAGUGAGAAAGUGACAGUUGAGCCAGAGCCCGAAGGAGGGAGGAAGAGAGCCUGAGGGAAGAAAGUCCCAGAACAGCAAGUGUCAAGGCCCUGAAGUAGAAGUGUAUCAGACCUGUUCAGGAAAAAUUAUUUUUUUAAACUGCCUCCAGAGGAGUGCAUACUGUCCCUUUAUCUAGAGAAGAAGAGAUCUCAGAUGGCUGAAGUGACUCCCAUUAAGGUCACACAGGCAGAAGCAGGUAAUGCUUUUCUUUCUCCAGAGGCUGGCAGCACGAUGCGGCGAGUGGAA